GAACUGAAGAGUUUGAUCCUGGCUCAGAUUGAACGCUGGCGGCAUGCCUUACACAUGCAAGUCGAACGGUAACGCGGGGCAACCUGGCGACGAGUGGCGAACGGGUGAGUAA
rnacentral:rRNA from 1 species